rnacentral:rRNA from 1 species
GACGAACGCUGGCGGCGUGCUUAACACUUGCAAGUCGAACGGAAAGGCCCUGCUUUUGUGGGGUGCUCGAGUGGCGAACGGGUGAGUAACACGUGAGUAACCUGCCCUUGACUUUGGGAUAACUUCAGGAAACUGGGGCUAAUACCGGAUAGGAGCUCCUGCUGCAUGGUGGGGGUUGGAAAGUUUCGGCGGUUGGGGAUGGACUCGCGGCUUAUCAGCUUGUUGGUGGGGUAGUGGCUUACCAAGGCUUUGACGGGUAGCCGGCCUGAGAGGGUGACCGGCCACAUUGGGACUGAGAUACGGCCCAGACUGCUACGGGAGGCAGCAGUGGGGAAUAUUGCACAAUGGGCGGAAGCCUGAUGCAGCAACGCCGCGUGCGGGAUGACGGCCUUCGGGUUGUAAACCGCUGUCGCCUGUGACGAAGCGGGAGUGACGGUAAUGGGUAAAGAAGCACCGGCUAACUACGUG